CCAUCAGCUAUAUCACCCUGCAGCUCACAACUGGCAACCAUCUGAAGAUAAGCAGGUGUCAGCCUGACUAAUACCUGGGUGGGAGACCUCCUGGGAAAGCUGAGGUUGCUGAUGGA
rnacentral:rRNA from 1 species